CGAGGAAUAUUGGUCAAUGGGCGCAAGCCUGAACCAGCCAUCCCGCGUGAAGGAAGAAUGCGCUACGCGUUGUAAACUUCUUUUCCAGGGGGAGAAUUUUCCUGUCGAGACAGGGAUUGACGGUACCCUGGGAAUAAGCAUCGGCUAACUCCGUGCCAGCAGCCGCGGUAAUACGGAGGAUGCGAGCGUUAUCCGAAUUUAUUGGGUUUAAAGGGUGCGUAGGCGGAUUGAUAAGCCAGUGGUGAAAUUCUGCAGCUUAACUGUAGACUUGCCGUUGAUACUGUUAGUCUUGAGUGUGGUCAAGGCAGGCGGAAUGUGUAAUGUAGCGGUGAAAUGCUUAGAUAUUACACAGAACACCGAUUGCGAAGGCAGCUUGCUGGGUCAUUACUGACGCUGAUGCACGAAAGCGUGGGGAUCAAACAG
rnacentral:rRNA from 1 species